rnacentral:lncRNA from 1 species
AACGUGCGCUACGUCCACACCGCGCCGGACCUGCCGCUCGACGGGAUCCACGCCGCCGUCGCGGGGCCGGGCACCGCCGACCUCAUCACCGUCGCGCAGGCCUUCCACUGGCUCGACCUCCCGCGCUUCUACGCGCAGGCCCGCUCCGUGCUGCGCCCGGAGCAGGGCGUCCUCGCCGCCUGGUGCUACACGGAGCCACGCGUCAGCGCCGCCGUCGACGCCGUGUUCUGGCGCCUCUACCGCGGCUCGCAGCCGUACUGGGCGCCCAACCGCCGGAUGGUCGACGACGAGUACCGCGGCGCCGACUUCCCCUUCGACCCCGUCGACGGCGAGGCCCACACGGGGCCCUUCGAGUUCUCCACGGAGCGGGCCAUGGACCUGGAUGGCUACCUCACCUACAUCACGUCCUGGUCGGCGUACCAGACGGCCAAGGAGAAGGGCGUCGAGCUGCUCGACGAGGCGACGGUGCAGGAGUUCGCGGCGGCGUGGGGCGGCGAUGGGAAGGAGGUGAAGGCGGUGACGUACCCAAUCUUCCUCAGGAUUGGCAAGGUGAGGGCCGAAUGAUGCACGAAACAAGUUGACGACGGGUGCGAGACGACAGACGACUACUCGGAAUAUAUUUGUGCUGAUAACCUUUCUGUAGAAGGAUUUGUUUUGUAUUGACUGUACUACA